GUUUGACUUAACUGUAAGUCGCUCUGGAUAAGAGCAUCUGCUAAAUGACUAAAA
rfam:Salmo salar isolate Sally breed double haploid chromosome ssa20, whole genome shotgun sequence.